AGUGAACGCUGGCGGUAGGCCUAACACAUGCAAGUCGAACGGCAGCACAGUAAGAGCUUGCUCUUACGGGUGGCGAGUGGCGGACGGGUGAGGAAUACAUCGGAAUCUACUUUUUCGUGGGGGAUAACGUAGGGAAACUUACGCUAAUACCGCAUACGACCUACGGGUGAAAGCAGGGGAUCUUCGGACCUUGCGCGAUCGAAUGAGCCGAUGUCGGAUUAGCUAGUUGGCGGGGUAAAGGCCCACCAAGGCGACGAUCCGUAGCUGGUCUGAGAGGAUGAUCAGCCGCACUGGAACUGGGACACGGUCCAGACUCCUACGGGAGGCAGCAGUGGGGAAUAUUGGACAAUGGGCGCAAGCCUGAUCCAGCCAUCCCGCGUGGGUGAAGAAGGCCUUCGGGUUGUAAAGCCCUUUUGUUGGGAAAGAAAAGCAGCAGGUUAAUACCCCGCUGUUCUGACGGUACCCAAAGAAUAAGCACCGGCUAACUUCGUG
rnacentral:rRNA from 1 species